UACGAGGGGGGCAAGCGUUGUUCGGAAUUAUUGGGCGUAAAGGGCGCGUAGGCGGUGCGGUAAGUCACCUGUGAAACCUCUAGGCUUAACCUAGAGCCUGCAGGCGAAACUGCCGUGCUUGAGGGUGGGAGAGGUGCGUGGAAUUCCCGGUGUAGCGGUGAAAUGCGCAGAUAUCAGGAAGAACACCCGUGGCGAAAGCGGCUCUCUGGAACGGUACUGACGCUGAGACGCGAAAGCGUGGGGGAGCGAACAGG
rnacentral:rRNA from 1 species